GUGCUCACUUCAGCAGCACAUGUACUAAAAUUGGAAUGAUACAGAGAAGAUAGGCAUGCCCCUGCACAAGGAUGACACACACAUCUGUGAAGCAUUCUGUUUUUCA